rnacentral:rRNA from 1 species
AUUGAACGCUGGCGGCAUGCCUUACACAUGCAAGUCGAACGGUAACGCGGGGCAACCUGGCGACGAGUGGCGAACGGGUGAGUAAUGCAUCGGAACGUGCCCAGUAGUGGGGGAUAGCCCGGCGAAAGCCGGAUUAAUACCGCAUACGACCUACGGGUGAAAGCGGGGGAUCGCAAGACCUCGCGCUAUUGGAGCGGCCGAUGUCAGAUUAGGUAGUUGGUGAGGUAAAGGCUCACCAAGCCUUCGAUCUGUAGCUGGUCUGAGAGGACGACCAGCCACACUGGGACUGAGACACGGCCCAGACUCCUACGGGAGGCAGCAGUGGGGAAUUUUGGACAAUGGGCGCAAGCCUGAUCCAGCCAUGCCGCGUGCGGGAAGAAGGCCUUCGGGUUGUAAACCGCUUUUGUCAGGGAAGAAACGCUCAGGGCUAAUACCCUGGGGUAAUGACGGUACCUGAAGAAUAAGCACCGGCUAACUACGUGCCAGCAGCCGCGGUAAUACGUAGGGUGCAAGCGUUAAUCGGAAUUACUGGGCGUAAAGCGUGCGCAGGCGGUUAUGCAAGACAGAUGUGAAAUCCCCGGGCUUAACCUGGGAACUGCAUUUGUGACUGCAUAGCUAGAGUGCGGCAGAGGGGGAUGGAAUUCCGCGUGUAGCAGUGAAAUGCGUAGAUAUGCGGAGGAACACCGAUGGCGAAGGCAAUCCCCUGGGCCUGCACUGACGCUCAUGCACGAAAAGCGUGGGG